rnacentral:lncRNA from 1 species
CAAAAUAGCAUCACUUGAAGUGCCUUUCCCCCUGUAAUCCGACUCCACCGUCUUUAACGUGUUUGGAAUUGUGUACACAGUUUAUUGCUAUUGGUUUCCUUAGCCCUUUUAGAACCAAGCAACGCCAAUUACCAACAAAAUCCGUUGCGCCACAGUGAGUUAGCUACCGUCUAUCUCCACUUUGUCCUGCAUGUCGAUCUCAGGAGAAGCCAGCUCCCAUGUAAGAAGUUCAAAUACCUAGAGACUGUGAUGGUGUGCAGAGGCUCAAGCUAACCACAUGGAAAGACAUGGAGAGAUAUUCCUUGCAAACCCUCAACUACUCCAACUAUUCUAAGACAUCAAACCUGUCACCCACCGGUCUGAAGAGGAGGAUGAGAGACAAAAAAAAAAGUUGUCUGGCUGCCUCUGCUGCCUACAGAUUGAAGAAGAUCCAUCCAGCUGAGCCCAGCCUAGACCAGCUGACUUCUCCAAUAAGCAUGUAUGAAAUAAAUGCUUAUUGUUAUGUG